rnacentral:sRNA from 1 species
AUGGCUGUCGUCAGCUCGUGUCGUGAGAUGUUGGGUUAAGUCCCGCAACGAGCGCAACCCUUACUUUUAGUUGCUACCAUUUAGUUGGGCACUCUAAAAGAACUGCCAGUGAUAAGCUGGAGGAAGGUGGGGAUGACGUCAAGUCCUCAUGGCCCUUAUGUGUUGGGCUACACACGUGCUACAAUGGUACUUACAAUGGGAAGCGAAGAGGCGACUCUAGGCAAAUCCCAAAAAGGUACCUCAGUUCGGAUUGUACUCUGCAACUCGAGUGCAUGAAGCUGGAAUUACUAGUAAUCGUGGAUCAGCGUGCCACGGUGAAUACGUUCCCGGGUCUUGUACACACCGCCCGUCACACCAUGGAAGUUGGUUACACCUUAAGGCAAAGCGUAAAACCUUUGACUACGGUACGAUCAGCGACUGGGGUGAAGUCGUAACAAGGUAGCCGUAGGGGAACCUGCGGCUGGAUCACCUCCUUUCUAAGGAAAUCGAAAAAUAUUAAAACAAUUAUUUUCGAUUUAAAAAAAACCGGUAAUGUGACCGUCCUCAUUUCUCUUCUUUUAAUGUCUCUGAGUAUAAAUUAAGGGGCCGGUAGCUCAGGUGGUUAGAGCGCACCCCUGAUAAGGGUGAGGUCGGAAGUUCGAGUCUUCCUCGGCCCACCAAUAUUACGGGGGAUUAGCUCAGCUGGGAGAGCGCCUGAUUUGCAUUCAGGAGGUCAGCGGUUCGAUCCCGCUAUCCUCCACCAAAUUUGAGACAUUUAGCUUUUUUAAAUUGUGAAUUAUUAUUAAUAUCAAUAUCUAUAUCCGAUUGUUUUCAUAUUUUUUUGAAAACAAUCAAAACAAAAAUUUGAAUUUUACACAGAAAGUUUUUUUCUGUGCAUAAAUCAAGCGUUUAAGGGCGAUUGGCGGAUGCCUUGGCACUGUAAGACGAUGAAGGACGUGGUAUACUGCGAUAAGUUUCGGGGAGCCGUAUGCAGGCUUUGAUCCGAAAAUUUCCGAAUGGGGAAACCCGG